GACUCCCCUCUAAAAUAAUGCCUUAUUGUCUAAUACCUUUUACCAAAUAGAGUUUAGAUUCUCUCCGGCUUGUACCUAUACCAAACGGAGUUUAGAUUCUCUCGGGUUUGGGAUUUAAUAAAAGAGAUCUAAUCUUGCAAUCACAACUAUCCAUGUGUUGCUCAUGGAUUUGCCUAAAAUGAACUGUUCUAGUCUUCCAUUUCUUUACACACCCAAUGUUCGACCGACCACCACCCAACAAGGUUUGAUGUAUCAGCUGGUAUCGAUACAUACGGACCAUACAAUACUAUAUCAUAUUAAUACCAAACUAAUACAAGAUAUGAAAGCCAUACCAACAUUUGAUAUGCCAAAUUAGGUACCAUACCUGACAUACUUAUAUUGUAACAACCUGGUAUCGAUAUAGAAUUCGAUCCUGAUAGGGUGAACUUUGAACCCAAAAUAAACCACCAAUUCAAUUACUGAAAAACCUUUAUUUUC
rnacentral:lncRNA from 1 species